rnacentral:rRNA from 1 species
UACGUAGGGUGCGAGCGUUAAUCGGAAUUACUGGGCGUAAAGCGUGCGCAGGCGGUUUUUUAAGACAGGCGUGAAAAUCCCCCGGGCGUCAACCUAGGGAACGUAGCGUUUGUUGACUGCGAGGCUAGAGUACGGCAGAGGGGGGUAGGAAUUCCACGUGUAGCAGUGAAAUGCGUAGAGAUGUGGAGGAAUACCGAUGGCGAAGGCAGCCCCCUGGGUUAGUACUGACGCUCAUGCACGAAAGCGUGGGGAGCAAACAGGAUUAGAUACCCGAGUAGU